rnacentral:rRNA from 1 species
AGCAUAUCAAUAAGCGGAGGAAAAGAAACCAACAGGGAUUGCCCCAGUAACGGCGAGUGAAGCGGCAACAGCUCAAAUUUGAAAUCUGGCCCUCGGGUCCGAAUUGUAAUUUGUAGAGGAUACUUUUGGCGAGGUGCCUUCCGAGUUCCCUGGAACGGGACGCCAUAGAGGGUGAGAGCCCCGUCUGGUCGGAUACCAAGCCUCUGUAAAGUUCCUUCGACGAGUCGAGUAGUUUGGGAAUGCUGCUCAAAAUGGGAGGUAUAUGUCUUCUAAAGCUAAAUAUUGGCCAGAGACCGAUAGCGCACAAGUAGAGUGAUCGAAAGAUGAAAAGCACUUUGAAAAGAGGGUUAAAAAGUACGUGAAAUUGUUGAAAGGGAAGCGCCUAUGACCAGACUUGGGCCCGGUGAAUCAUCCAGCGUUCUCGCUGGUGCACUUUGCCGGGCACAGGCCAGCAUCAGUUUGGCGCGGGGGAUAAAGGCUUUGGGAAUGUGGCUCCUCCGGGAGUGUUAUAGCCCAUUGCGUAAUACCCUGCGCCGGACUGAGGUACGCGCAUUGCAAGGAUGCUGGCGUAAUGGUCAUCAGCGACCCGUCUUGAAACACGGACCAAGGAGUCGUCUUCGUAUGCGAGUGUUCGGGUGUCAAACCCCUACGCGUAAUGAAAGUGAACGCAGGUGAGAGCUUCGGCGCAUCAUCGACCGAUCCUGAUGUUCUCGGAUGGAUUUGAGUAAGAGCAUACGGGGCCGGACCCGAAAGAAGGUGAACUAUGCCUGUAUAGGGUGAAGCCAGAGGAAACUCUGGUGGAGGCUCGCAGCGGUUCUGACGUGCGAAUCGAUCGUCAAAUAUGGGCAUGGGGGCGAAAGACUAAUCGA